rnacentral:rRNA from 1 species
UACGAAGGGGGCUAGCGUUGUUCGGAAUUACUGGGCGUAAAGCGCGCGCAGGCGGUUUUCCAAGUCAGUGGUGAAAGCCCGGAGCUCAACUCCGGAAUUGCCAUUGAAACUGUGAAACUUGAGUACGAGAGAGGUGAGUGGAAUUCCCAGUGUAGAGGUGAAAUUCGUAGAUAUUGGGAAGAACACCGGUGGCGAAGGCGGCUCACUGGCUCGUUACUGACGCUCAGGCGCGACAGCGUGGGGAUCAAACAGG